UUCACAGCUUGCUGAGGAAUGAACUGAGUGGCGAACGGGUGAGUAACACGUAGGGAACCUGCCCAUAUACCCGGGAUAACAAACGGAAACGUUUGCUAAAACCGGAUAGGUAAUCGGAAGGCAUCUUCCGAUUAUGAAAGCAGCGACAGCUGUGGAUAUGAAUGGACCUGCGGCGUAUUAGCCAGUUGGCGGGGUAACGGCCCACCAAAGCGAUGAUACGUAGCCGGCCUGAGAGGGUAAACGGCCACAUUGGGACUGAGACACGGCCCAAACUCCUACGGGAGGCAGCAGUAGGGAAUUUUCGUCAAUGGGGGGAACCCUGAACGAGCAAUGCCGCGUGAGUGAAGAAGGUUUUCGGAUCGUAAAGCUCUGUUGUAAGAGAAAAAGGGUGAUAACAGGAAAUGGUUAACACUUGAUGGUAUCUUACGAGGAAGCCACGGCUAACUACGUGCCAGCAGCCGCGGUAAUACGUAGGUGGCGAGCGUUAUCCGGAAUGAUUGGGCGUAAAGGGUGCGCAGGCGGUUGUAUAAGUCUGAAGUAAAAGCCAUCGGCUCAACCGAUGUAAGCUUUGGAAACUGUGUAACUAGAGUGCAGGAGAGGGCAGUGGAAUUCCAUGUGUAGCGGUAAAAUGCGUAGAUAUAUGGAGGAACACCAGUGGCGAAGGCGGCUGCCUGGCCUGUAACUGACGCUGAGGCACGAAAGCGUGGGGAGCAAAUAGGAUUAGAUACCCUAGUA
rnacentral:rRNA from 1 species